GACGAACGCUGGCGGCGUGCCUAACACAUGCAAGUCGAACGGAACUGUUUUGAAAGCUUUCUUCGGAAUGAAUUUGAUUUAGUUUAGUGGCGGACGGGUGAGUAACGCGUGAGUAACCUGCCUUCAAGAGGGGAAUAACAUUCUGAAAAGAAUGCUAAUACCGCAUGACAUAUCGGAACCACAUGGUUUUGAUAUCAAAGAUUUUAUCGCUUGAAGAUGGACUCGCGUCCGAUUAGUUAGUUGGUGAGGUAACGGCUCACCAAGACCGCGAUCGGUAGCCGGACUGAGAGGUUGAACGGCCACAUGGGGGCUGAGACACGGCCCAGACUCCUACGGGAGGCAGCAGUGGGGGAUAUUGCGCAAUGGGGGCAACCCUGACGCAGCAACGCCGCGUGAAGGAUGAAGGUUUUCGGAUUGGAAACUUCUUUUAUUAAGGACGAAAAAUGACGGUACUUAAUGAAUAAGCUCCGGCUAACUACGUG
rnacentral:rRNA from 1 species